UCUUCCUUCUGUACGAACAUGUCCAUCACCACAUGAUCCUUUUCCUCUCUCCCCGAUGCAAGCCACCUGCCCUUCUUCCCCUCCUUUAUACACCAGGAGACCGAGCCAAACCCUAGCCACUCUUCCUCGCCCGCGCCGCGCCGCACCAUCUCUUCCUCCACCUCUCUGUAAGCAAACAAGAGGGUUUUUACCCGGAGCUUCGUCGACCGCCGCUGUCGCCAUGGACGCCGGCGACCUCACCUGACCGCGGGAAUCGAACCGCCGCGCCGCCGUCUUCGUCCUGGUCUACUUCACGGACCAGGGGACGCCAAGUUCUGCUCGGAAUCAUCCGCGCCGUCGCGUCUUCUUCCCGGAGUCCGUCGCCGUCGCCUCGUCUCCGUCCGUCCCCGAGCCGCCUCGUUCUUCCGGCAGCCUCACGACGCCGACGCAGAGCAGUACGAGCAGGAGUACGAGUUCCCCCUGGAGGAUCGUGUCGGUGCUUCUACCUCUGAUCUGACAGGCGAGCCCACCCCUUCACCUAUUUUACUUUUACAUGCUCUUUUGAUCUAUUGCUAUCCUUAUGUUGCGAUUCUGUUGUGUCACGUGUCC